rnacentral:rRNA from 1 species
AGGACGAACGCUGGCGGCGUGCUUAACACAUGCAAGUCGAGCGGUAAGGCCUUUCGGGGUACACGAGCGGCGAACGGGUGAGUAACACGUGGGUGAUCUGCCCUGCACUUCGGGAUAAGCCUGGGAAACUGGGUCUAAUACCGGAUAUGACCUCAGGUUGCAUGACUUGGGGUGGAAAGAUUUAUCGGUGCAGGAUGGGCCCGCGGCCUAUCAGCUUGUUGGUGGGGUAAUGGCCUACCAAGGCGACGACGGGUAGCCGACCUGAGAGGGUGACCGGCCACACUGGGACUGAGACACGGCCCAGACUCCUACGGGAGGCAGCAGUGGGGAAUAUUGCACAAUGGGCGUAAGCCUGAUGCAGCGACGCCGCGUGAGGAUGACGGCCUUCGGGUUGUAAACCUCUUUCAGCAGGACGAAGCGCAAGUGACGGUACCUGCAGAAGAAGCACCGGCUAACUACGUGCCAGCACGCCGC